AUUGAACGCUGGCGGCAGGCCUAACACAUGCAAGUCGAGCGGAGCGGCGGACGGGUGAGUAAUGCCUAGGAAGCUGCCUGGUAGUGGGGGAUAACGGCCGGAAGCGGGCGCUAAUACCGCAUACUAUCAGAUGAGCCUAGGUCGGAUUAUCUAGGUGGUGGGGUAAAGGCCUACCAAGGCGACGAUCCGUAACUGGUCUGAGAGGAUGAUCAGUCACACUGCAACUGAGACACGGUCCAGACUCCUACGGGAGGCAGCAGUGGGGAAUAUUGUGCCAUGGGCGAAAGCCUGAUCCAGCCAUGCCGCGUGUGUGAAGAAGGUCUUCGGAUUGUAAAGCUCUUUAAGUUGGGAGGCGUUACCAACAGAAUAAGCACCGGCUCACUUCGUGCCAGCAGCCGCGGUAAUAC
rnacentral:rRNA from 1 species